CCAUCUGAUGGACACACGCAAGGAGAGGAAGAGGAGGUUCAGCGACGCGCUUCUGCUGGUUUCAGAUCAGUGUGACGGGUCGGAGUACGAACCCCGGCGAGGUUCUGAGCUGAGCUACUUUCGGUCAAAGCUUCCAAACAAAAACCUGCUGACAUCACUGCGUUUCAGGGCAAACGCUCAUCAUGACUCGAACCUCAGGCUGACGUUGGUCUGAGAGCUAACGUUUCUGUGAUCCAGCGUCCACAGUGAGCUCAGGAAUCCACCAUUAGUGUGAGUGAGGGAGAGAAAGCGGAAGGAAAUCCCACCCACCACCUCCAAGCUGAGCCUUUUAUUCUACCAACCUGCAAUUGCACUAAUGUGAACCAGAUGUACGUACACACAGUUUGAGUUUUGAGCUUCGCUGCCUAAUUGACUCCAUACGAUGCAUAGAUAUUAGGAAAGAAGGAGGGAGGAGAGGAGAAACAGAGGGAGAGAAAUGAAGUUUGUAAAAAGAUGAGAAAGGGAAAUGCCAUAUAUGGUGUCUAGAAAAUGUGCAAAACAUCAAUGAUAACUAACAAAUAAAAGUUCUUGAAACUACAGAAAACUUCCACAAACUUUGUAUUUAAGAAAACAUCUGUAGAAACAAAUAAAAAAAUAAAGAAGAAUGAAAAAUGUAAAAUAAAGGAAAAAAAUGCGUACAAGUAGAAAAACCUUUGUUUUGAUAGGAACAGCUACAAAGACGAGAAAGACUAUAAUGAAUAAAUGAACAACAAAACAGUGAUCGUAGGAGCAACGAUAGAAAGUGACAGUUCGUGGAAAGUAUAAACACACUCGCACACACACACACACACACACA